AUGCGUACACGCAGCAAGUCCGGCUUCGCCCAGCCUAAGACACUUCACAUCGCCACCUCCGGCAUCAGUCCCAUUCCUUCCUCUUAUCGUGUAGCCCUCCAGGACCCCGACUGGCACGCCGCGAUGCUUGAGGAAUAUAACGCACUGAUGCGGAAUAAUACUUGGUGUUUAGUGUCUCGUCCUGCAGGUGCAAACGUCGUGACAUGCAAGUGGAUCUUUCGGCACAAGUUCCACCCCGACGGGACGCUCGCGCGCUACAAAGCGCGGUGGGUACUUCGCGGCUUCACCCAGCAGGCCGGCGUCGACUACGUUGAGACGUUCAGCCCCGUCGUCAAGCCGGCCACCAUUCGGACAGUGCUCAGCAUUGCCGCCGGCAAGUCGUGGCCCAUUCAUCAGCUAGACGUCAAGAAUGCCUUCCUCCAUGGGCAUCUCGCGGAGACUGUCUACAGCCACCAGCCAUCCGGUUUCAUCGACGCUGCAUCACCAUCACAUGUGUGCCGGCUGAACCGUUCCUUGUACGGUCUCAAGCAGGCACCGAGAGCGUGGUUCACUCGGUUCACCUCCUACCUGCGCACGCUCGGCUUCGUAGCAUCGCGGGCGGACUCGUCCUUGUUCGUCCUCCGCCGCGGACAGCACCUGGCGUACCUGCUGCUCUACGUCGACGACAUCAUCCUCACCGCGGACUCCCCCAUCGUCCUCGACUCGGUCAUUCAGGCGCUCCAUCGGGAGUUCUCGAUGACGGACCUCGGCGCGCUCCAUCACUUCCUCGGCAUCAACGUCACCACCACGACGCGCGGAUUGUUCCUCUCCCAGGAACAGUACGCACUGGAGAUCCUCGACCGUGCGGGCAUGCUCAAUUGCAAGCCCCUCUCCACUCCGGUCGACACGUUGGCCAAGCUCUCCGUCAACACCGGGCCGCUCUUCCACGACCCGUCUCUCUACCGCAGCUUGGCCGGUGCCCUCCAGUACCUCACGCUGACGCGCCCUGAUCUCUCCUACGCCGUCCAGCAGUGUUGUAUGUUCAUGCAGGCACCCCGGGACUGUCACUUCCUGCUCGUGAAACGCGUGCUCCGGUACUUGCGUGGUACGGCGCAUCUUGGGCUUCCCAUCCAUCGCGACACCACCACUGAGCUCGUCGCCUACUCCGACGCCGAUUGGGCCGGCUGCCCCGACACACGGAAGUCCACCUCGGGCUACUGUGUGUACCUUGGCUCCAACCUCCUUACCUGGUCGUCGAAGCGGCAAAACACCGUCUCGCGGUCCAGUGCCGAGGCCGAGUACCGGGCAGUCGCCAAUGCCGUCGCCGAGUCGGUGUGGUUGCGCCAA
rnacentral:rRNA from 1 species